GACGGAGGGGGCUAGCGUCGUUCGGAAUGACUGGGCGUAAAGGGCGCGUAGGCGGUUUUUUAAGUGAGGCGUGAAAGCCCUGGGCUUAACCCAGGAGGUGCGUUUCAUACUGAAAGACUUGAGUACGAGAGAGGAAAGCGGAAUUCCUAGUGUAGAGGUGAAAUUCGUAGAUAUCAAGUGGAACACCGGUGGCGAAGGCGGCCUUCUGGACCAUCACUGACGCUGAGACACGAAAGCGUGGGUAGCAAACAGG
rnacentral:rRNA from 1 species